UCGGGAAUUUUGGGCAAUGGGCGAAAGCCUGACCCAGCAACGCCGCGUGAAGGAUGAAGUAUUUCGGUAUGUAAACUUCGAAAGAAUAGGAGGAAUAAAUGACGGUACUAUUUAUAAGGUCCGGCUAACUACGUGCCAGCAGCCGCGGUAAUACGUAGGGACCAAGCGUUGUUCGGAUUUACUGGGCGUAAAGGGCGCGUAGGCGGCUUGACAAGUCACUUGUGAAAUCUCUGGGCUUAACCCAGAACGGCCAAGUGAAACUGUCAUGCUAGAGUGCAGAAGGGGCAAUCGGAAUUCUUGGUGUAGCGGUGAAAUGCGUAGAUAUCAAGAGGAACACCUGAGGUGAAGACGGGUUGCUGGGCUGACACUGACGCUGAGGCGCGAAAGCCAGGGGAGCAAACGGGAUUAGAUACCCAUGUAGUCCCUGAGCGGGCUGGCAAGGCGCAU
rnacentral:rRNA from 1 species